CUAUAAACGGUCUGAAGUUAGAUCUGAAACUACAAAAAAAUGUUAGUGUUGACCUGACUAAUAAGUUUAAGAAAGAAAAAAAUACGCUCGCUGAGGAAAACAACCUGCUCAUGGAACUUUACAACACCAGAGAUGGGCCGUCUUUGUUGAUCAAGGAAACCAGAAAACGCCUGAUUCAACGAGAACAGGAGAAUCUCGAGAACGAAAAGGCGUGGAUGGAGAAAUACAAUCAUCUGCAGACGAUCUUCCAGAUACAGAGAAACUGUCUGGAGAGGAAGUUCAAGAAUGAGUUGGUCGAGAAAGAAAAGUUGUUAGACACAGUAAAAGAGCUUGAGGAGUCCUGUUCUCAUCUCCAGGAGGAUCGGAGAAUUUUGUUGACAGACAACGUGCGUUUGAGUAUAGAUAACAGCUUGCUGAAGAGGGGAAUCGAGGCCAUAAAGGAAAACCCGUGCAUGACCAACAACAGGUUUGAGACAGAAGAAAGCAAGAUAAAUGAGAUGCCGAAAGGCAAAUGUAGAAAUGAGAUUGAACUCAAACAACUGAAGGAAAUAAACAAGGAAGAUGAGGACAUUCUCCUUGAAACGAGAAAGAAUAGAGGCUUCUUUAGCAGAAAGACGGAGGACAGAGAGACUGAGUCGAAGAAAAGGAACGCACAGCCGGACAUUUUCCCUGAAACGAGAAAGAAUAGAGGCUUCUUUAGCAGAAAGACAGAGGACAAAAAGACGGAGGACAGAGAGACUCAGUCGAAGAAAAGGAACGCACAGCCGGACAUUUUCCCUGAAACGAGAAAGAAUAGAGGCUUCUUUAGCAGAAAGACAGAGGACAAAAAGACAGAGGACAGAGAGACUGAGUCGAAGAAAAGGAACGCACAGCCGGACAUUUUCCCUGAAACGAGAAAGAAUAGAGGCUUCUUUAGCAGAAAGACAGAGGACAAAAAGACAGAGGACAGAGAGACUGAGUCGAAGAAAAGGAACGCACAGCCGGACAUUUUCCCUGAAACGAGAAAGAAUAGAGGCUUCUUUAGCAGAAAGACAGAGGACAAAAAGACAGAGGACAGAGAGACUGAGUCGAAGAAAAGGAACGCACAGCUGGACAUUCUACUUGAAACGAGAAAGAUUAGAGACUUCUUUAGCAGAAAGAUGAAGGACAGAAAGACUGAAUCGAAGAAAAGGAACGCACGGCUGGACAUUCUACUUGAAACGAGAAAGAUUAGAG
ensembl:lncRNA